UACUUCUACCUUCUGUGAUUCUAAAAUAAUCAUUUCAGUUGUAACUGGGGAGUCCGGCAGGACACAGCAGUCUCCCUCUCAGUUUCGGAGGGCUGUCCUGAGUACAGGGCUGGCUCUUAAAGGCACGAGAGGCCAAU